CUACGGGAUGCUGCAGUGGGGAAUAUUGCGCAAUGGGGGAAACCCUGACGCAGUGACGCCGUGUGAGUGAUGAAGGUUUUCGGAUCGUAAAGCUCUGUCAGACGGGAAGAAUAAGAACAGUAAAAAUAUUGCUGUUUGAUGACGGUACCGUCAGAGGAAGCACCGGCUAACUCCGUGCCAGCAGCCGCGGUAAUACGGAGGGUGUAAACGUUGUUCGGAAUUACUGGGCGUAAAGCGCAUGUAGGCGGAUAUGUAGGUCAGAUGUGAAAUCCCUUGGCUCAACCAAGGAAGUGCAUCUGAAACCCCAUAUCUUGAGUACGAGAGAGGGAAGUGGAAUUCCCAGUGUAGAGGUGAAAUUCAUAGAUAUUGGGAAGAACACCGGUGGCGAAGGCGGCUUUCUGGCUCGUAACUGACGCUGAGAUGCGAAAGCGUGGGGAGCAAACAGGAUUAGAUACCCCAGUAGUC
rnacentral:rRNA from 1 species